GUAAGCCAAAUACACAUUCAGAGGGACCUCAUUGUGCCUGUUCCUAAUUUCUUAUCAAUUUUCUUUAUACCUGGAAACAUUCGUUGAUUCCCUCUGAAACUCAAGUGAUGUCAAAUGGGGCAGGAGCAGCACAGCCUGGAAGGAUCCCAGGUCUGCAGCACAGCCACCUCAGCUCCUGCAGAGGCCCCUCUGCUGGGUUGAGUGAGCACCUACCUUGCAGUAACAUGAAAAUACAAGCCUUUUCCCACUGUUUCUAAAUCGGGAGGAGUGCUGGAGGCUGUGGUGAAGUAGUCGGGAAGAGGAGGCAG
rnacentral:lncRNA from 1 species